GACAGUCGUAUUCUUGUUUGCUGUCCAGAAAACGACUUGUUCAGUUUACAAUUAAAUUAAUAUUUAUUGCAAAACAACUUGCUUAUUGAACAUUCUAAAAAUAUUUAAGCAUAAUACAUGUACUCCGUGAACGUUUGCUUUACCAGUGCUGUUAAUUAAAGUUUAAGCUGUAUUUCAAAGUUAACAUUAUGAUCAACUAGGCCAAGUUAUGUAAAUAAUUUAAUUUGUGUAGUGAAUUUAAGUAAAUUUCUAAUAGUGGCUUAAUGUGUUCAUAAUGUUUCACCCAUUUUUGCUUCUGAUAGCGACGGGUUUGUUGCUGUUUUGUGUAAUAAAAUCAGUUGUGGUUCGCCAUUUAGGUUUGAAUAAAAUGAAAUGCGCAAUAAGCUUACGUCAUGGUCGUGUUGUCGCUUAUCUCAACAAUCUAGUGCUUAUGAAUAUCGAACUUUGCAAAUACGUGUUCUAUUUCUGCAAUUUGUUGUGAUUGUAUUCAACAGACCACGGGUCAAUACAACUACGAUCAAGUGAACAAAUGCUUUUUCUUUCCAUCCGUAAACACACUCAUGGGAUACAGGAUCAUUGUUGUGACUUUGACAACAUCUGGAAGGAUGGUUACAGAAAAGUUUCCUACGAACCACUUCACGCACAUCUUUAUAGACGAUUGCGGUCACGCGGUGGAACCUGAAUGUAUCGUGCCUAUAUCUGGACUUAUGGAUCCAAGAGAUAAAUCUGGGCGAGCACAGUUGGUCAUUUCCGGUGAUCACAAACAACUUGGUCCGAUAGUCCGUUCUGCUAUUGCUCGAAACCUUGGGUUACCUGUUUCUCUAAUGGAGAGAAUGAUGACCGAUAUCGAGAUGUACAAAAACCAGCCGUUUAACGAACGCUACAUCACACAACUUAUCCGAAACUACCGGUCACAUGACAGCAUUCUGGAAAUCCCAAGGCGUAUGUUUUACAACAAUCAGCAAGAGGCAUGUGGUGACUCCAAAGUCUUAAACUGCAUGCUUGACUGGGAUAUGUUGCCAAACAAGAAGUUUCCUGUGAUGUUUCACUCAGUGUUUGGAACAGAGGAACGGGAGGGUGAAAGUCCAUCUUGGUUUAACAGAGAUGAAAUAGCGCAGAUUGAUAUGUACCUGACCGGAUUGCUGAAGAAGAAAAAAGGAACACAAUUAAAACUCUCUGAUAUUGGAAUCAUCGCCCCAUAUAAGAAACAGGUUUCCAAGAUAAGACAAAUGCUGCUAGCUAAGAGACAUAUUGAUAACCAAAAUGAAAUACCUGUGGGGUCAGUCGAGGAGUUCCAAGGUCAAGAGUUCAAGGUCAUCAUCAUAUCCGCCGUGCGCAGUGAUAUGACAUCUGCUUACACGGACAUAGAUAUGGUAUUCAACCUCGGCCUUCUGUGUAACCCAAAGCGUUUCAAUGUUGCCAUGACACGUGCUCGUGCUCUGUUGAUUGUGAUUGGAAACCCUAUAACGCUCGAACAGGAUAAAUGCUGGAAGACGCGAGUGUGCAUCGGGGAGAGUCUUUUCCCCCUGAUUCAUUGACUACUGUUACGAGAACAACGCAUUAAGGGGGCAAACAUUGCAAAACAGAACAUGACCACCUGAUGACGGAAUGGAUGGAGGCCGAGGAAUAAGUGGAGAUACAUCAAGUAAGGUUUCAAUUCAUAAUUUUGGACGGCCGAAAGCCGAGCAGAAAAAGAUAAAGCAAAAUAAGCUAGCUGGGAAAGUUUACACAAGGCGCAAAUAAUUACGUAGAGCGAGUACAGUAGCCGUGGAAGGAAAUUAUCAAAUUGAACAACUGGUUUGAGUGUGUGUGCAUUAUGCAUAUGUUAUAUGUAAAUAGAUAUGAAUUCAUUCGUCAUCAAUUACGUAUAUAUUUAAUGGAUGUCGGUUUGGUACAAAUGAAAACUAUUUAGGUGCUUUCUGAACUUCAGAAGUGUGUGGAUCCUAUUUUGGUAUUCUGUUCAUUUUAUGCUAAUAAUGGUGAGAUGCAUUUUAUGCUUUUCAAAUAUAUAAACCCAUCAUCCACCAGACACUAACGAAACAAUACGCUGAGUCCACUUUUUUCAACCAUUUUCGGUUCCAUCAACCAUUGUUAAGUUUAAAUUGAAGUGUUUUGGAAAAAUUGUUUGCUAGUCUUAUUUUUUGUACGCAAAAUAUUUUGAUUGAACUCGAGAAUACUUAAUAAUGAUUUUGGACAUUGAUACAUUUACCAAGGAAUACCAAAGAUAUGUGGGUUUUGAAAGCAUCGUUAAACCAAUGGUUGAAUGUGUGACGGAACACAGUGGGAGAUAAAUAUAGCUUUUGUGAUGCACUAAAUAAAACAUGAACACGCACUAAAUAAUACAUGAACACGCACUUAAUAAAACAUGAACACUCACUAAAGAAUACAUGAGCACACACUAAAGAAUACAUAAACACGAACUAAACAAAUACAUGAACACGCACUAAAUAUCACUUGAACACGCACUAAUUAGUACACGAACAGGCACUAAAUCACGAGAGAAGCGAUGCAUUGUGAUACGUGGCGUGAACUUAGGGUAUCCAUGGUGCAGAAUCAACGGGGUUUUCAGGAGGUAACACAAUGGCUAUACAGAAUGUAAACACACCGUUUAGAACUUCAUAUUUGCAAAAAUCUUUGGUACAUAAAAGAUAGUUUUUUCUUGCAGUUUGUGCCGAUAUCUUAAGGUAUAAGAAUAAAUCAUUGAAUACGUAUGAAUGACACAAUUUCACCUUGCGCGACGCAGAGUCAUAGAACAUGGACUUUUUUAACAAAAACACAAGCUAAUUAAAUAAAGUAAUUCUGAUGUAUUUCAAAUUGCAAUAAGCAUCAUACAAAUCUGUCGUUUAUGCACUAGUUGAAAUUCUUUAGAAAAAUUGUUUAAAAAAGUUAUUUGGAAAAAGCAGCACUUACCGGUGUGUUACAUCCAAUCAUGUUUAAUUCAGAAAACCCAACAAAGUAACGUGACCAUGCACGUGAUAUCAAGUUUUGUUCUUUUAUAUAAUUACCAAAUUAAAUUAUAAUUACCUUAUACAUAAAAGGAUAAAAAUAUAUACAGGGAAAGUAAUUAAAUAUAUUAUUUAAAUUUAGCCUUACAAAUCCGGAACAUAUUUCACACUUCUUCGCUUAUCAAUCAGUAACUUACCAAAUAGUCGUUGCAACACUUCAUAUAGCUUGUUUGUUCCAAGAAAAUUCAAACAUAUUUAUAUGUACGAUUCCCUUUGUUAACUUGUUAAAAUGCAUGGUAUGUUAAGUUUCUGACAGCAAUUUAUCAUGUUAAACACUGAAAUAUGUAAACUUAGAUUUAUAGUAACGAUAUUGUUAUACAUUUUAUAUGUAUGCAUCAUAUAUUUUAUAUAACGAAAAACGUAUUUAUAUGUCGCUUUUGCUCUGUCACGCUUGUUUUGUAAACUUAAGGAUGUGUUCACAAUUUGAAUUUAUUAGUCCGCUACCGAUGUAUCAGGUAACGAGAAAGAAAACUUUAAUAUUCAUACAAAAAUGCAAUUAGAUACAUGAUCGCAAAUAAACAUAUACAAGCACUUUAAAA